rnacentral:rRNA from 1 species
CCUACGGGUGGCUGCAGUGGGGAAUAUUGCACAAUGGGCGCAAGCCUGAUGCAACCAUGCCGCGUGUGUGAAGAAGGCCUUCGGGUUGUAAAGCACUUUCAGCGGGGAGGAAGGCGUUAAGGUUAAUAACCUUGGCGAUUGACGUUACCCGCAGAAGAAGCACCGGCUAACUCCGUGCCAGCAGCCGCGGUAAUACGGAGGGUGCAAGCGUUAAUCGGAAUUACUGGGCGUAAAGCGCACGCAGGCGGUCUGUCAAGUCGGAUGUGAAAUCCCCGGGCUCAACCUGGGAACUGCAUUCGAAACUGGCAGGCUAGAGUCUUGUAGAGGGGGGUAGAAUUCCAGGUGUAGCGGUGAAAUGCGUAGAGAUCUGGAGGAAUACCGGUGGCGAAGGCGGCCCCCUGGACAAAGACUGACGCUCAGGUGCGAAAGCGUGGGGAGCAAACAGGAUUAGAUACCCUUGUAGUC